GAUGAAGAACGUAGCGAAAUGCGAUAAGAAGUGUGAAUUGCAGAAUUCAGUGAAUCAUCGAAUCUUUGAACGCACAUUGCGCCCCUUGGUAUCCCGAGGGGCAUGCCUGUUCGAGCGUCAUUUCACCACUCAAGCCUGGCUUGGUGUUGGGCGACGUCCCCUUUGGGGACGCGCCUCGAAACGCUCGGCGGCGUGGCACCGGCUUUAAGCGUAGCAGAAUCUUUCGCUUUGGAAGUCGGGGCCCCGUCUGCCGGAAGACCUACUCGCAAGGUUGACCUCGGAUCAGGCAGGGAUACCCGCUGAACUUAAGCAUAUCAAUAAGCGGAGGA
rnacentral:misc_RNA from 1 species